rnacentral:lncRNA from 1 species
AGCCAUGCAGUGCCACGCUGCCACAUUGUUGACCCUCGCUUUCACCCCACUUCCAGACAUUGACAAGUGAAGCCUUUGGAGCCUCAGUCACUCAUGACUUGCCUCCUUUGUUACCUGCCUGAUCUGCAGUCUCAUGUUGGCCCUGAUUCAUGGUGGUCAGCACGUAAGGUUGUUGUGCCUGGUAGGGGCAGAAAGGUAGAAUAGCUGUCCCCAUGCCACGAGGGGGAGGUGGGGAUGGUUGUGAGCCACCUUGUGUUUGCGAGCCACCUUGUGGUUGUUGGGAAUUGAAUUCAGGAUCUCUGGAAGAGCAGCCAGUACUCUUAACUACUGUGCCAUCUCUCAAGCCCCUCAAACAAUUUAAUUAAAGCAGUUCAUUGGGAAAAAUGAUAUUUUCCUACUCUGUAACAAUUAAAAAUGUGUUUUGUUGGAUUUUAAAGGUAGUUGGGGGAGGUGGGUCAUUGUUAAAACAAAAAUAUUCCUUGACCUUCAUUGAGUUUUACAAACUCAUUCAUUUAUUUUAGGUGGGGGGUGGGGAUGUAUGUGCAUGACUGUGGACAUCAGGGGACAACCUGUGACAGUUGCUUCUCCCUUCUGACGCUUGCAUGCCAGGGAUUCAAGUCGGGCUGCCUGGCUUAGCAGCCAGAGCCUUUACUGCUAAGCCGUUCCAUUUCCUCAACUGCAAUGUACUGAUCUGUGUUUCUAGUUUAGCCACUGAGCAGUACCACAAAAUGGCUGUGACCUUGAACGGACAAAGAACUCAGGAAGUGACAGUUCUGGGUGAUGAUAAGACAGCACAACCUGGUCUUGGACUAAAAAUGCAGUUUUGAUCAAGAAGAAGGAAGACUAAAGUGUGGAUACUUCAGUCCUUCUUAGAAUGGGGAACAAAAUACCCAUGGAAGGAGUUACAGAGACAAAGUUCGGAGCUAAGGCGGAAGGAAGGACAAUCCAGAGACUGCCCCACCUGGGGAUCCAUCCCAUAUACAACCACCAAGCCCAGACACUAUUGCAUAUGCCAGAAAGACUUUGCUGACAGGACCCUGAUAUAGCUCUCUCUUGUGAGGCUAUGCCAGUGCCUGGCAAAUACAGAAGUGGAUGAUCAUAGUCAUCUCUUGGAUGGAACACAGGGCCCCCAACGGAGGAGCUAGAGAAAGUACCCAAGGAGCUGAAGGGUUCUGCAACCCUAUAGGUGGAACAACAAUAUGAACUAACCAGUACACCCAGAGCUUGUGUCUCUAGCUGCACGUGUAGCAGAAGAUGGCCUAGUUGGCCAUCAAUGGGAAGAGAGGUCCCUUGGUCUUCCAAAUUUUAUAUGCCCCAGUACAGGGGAAUGCCAGGGCCAAGAAGUGGAAGUGGGUAGGUAGGGGAGCAGGGUGCGGGGAGGGUAUAGGGGACUUUUGGGAUAGCAUUUGAAAUGUAAAUGAAGAAAAUAACUAAUAAAAAAUUGGAAAAAAUGCA